GAUGAACGCUAGCUACAGGCUUAACACAUGCAAGUCGAGGGGAAACGACAUCGAAAGCUUGCUUUGAUGGGCGUCGACCGGCGCACGGGUGAGUAACGCGUAUCCAACCUGCCCACCACUUGGGGAUAACCUUGCGAAAGUAAGACUAAUACCCGAUGAUAUCUCUAGAAGACAUCUGAAAGGGAUUAAAGAUUUUUAUCGGUGAUGGAUGGGGAUGCGUCUGAUUAGCUUGUUGGCGGGGUAACGGCCCACCAAGGCGACGAUCAGUAGGGGUUCUGAGAGGAAGGUCCCCCACAUUGGAACUGAGACACGGUCCAAACUCCUACGGGAGGCAGCAGUGAGGAAUAUUGGUCAAUGGGCGAGAGCCUGAACCAGCCAAGUAGCGUGCAGGAAGACGGCCCUAUGGGUUGUAAACUGCUUUUAUAGGGGAAUAAAGUGAGCCACGUGUGGUUUUUUGCAUGUACCCUAUGAAUAAGGACCGGCUAAUUCCGUG
rnacentral:rRNA from 1 species